rnacentral:rRNA from 1 species
ACGAAGAGCGAUGGAAGCUUGCUUCUAUCAAUCUUAGUGGCGAACGGGUGAGUAACGCGUAAUCAACCUGCCCUUCAGAGGGGGACAACAGUUGGAAACGACUGCUAAUACCGCAUACGAUCUAAUCUCGGCAUCGAGGAUAGAUGAAAGGUGGCCUCUACAUGUAAGCUAUCACUGAAGGAGGGGAUUGCGUCUGAUUAGCUAGUUGGAGGGGUAACGGCCCACCAAGGCGAUGAUCAGUAGCCGGUCUGAGAGGAUGAACGGCCACAUUGGGACUGAGACACGGCCCAGACUCCUACGGGAGGCAGCAGUGGGGAAUCUUCCGCAAUGGACGAAAGUCUGACGGAGCAACGCCGCGUGAGUGAUGACGGCCUUCGGGUUGUAAAGCUCUGUUAAUCGGGACGAAAGGCCUUCUUGCGAAUAG